rnacentral:rRNA from 1 species
UACAGAGGGGGCAAGCGUUAUUCGGAAUUAUUGGGCGUAAAGGGCGCGUAGGCGGUUUUUUAAGUCGGAUGUGCAAUCCCUGGGCUCAACCCAGGAACUGCAUCCGAGACUGGAAGGCUAGAGUACUGGAGAGGGUGGUGGAAUUCCUCGUGUAGCGGUGAAAUGCGUAGAGAUGAGGAGGAACACCAGUGGCGAAGGCGGCCACCUGGACAGUAACUGACGCUGAGGCGCGAAAGCGUGGGUAGCAAACAG